ensembl:lncRNA
UUCCCCUCUACGACUUGGUGUGGGUCCAGCAGCUUUGGCUGCGGUCUGGAAUGCGCUCCUGUGGGACUCCGGAUACUGUAGAAAUGGACUAAUUCGUGAAUUCCUCGUCUGCGUAAAGACAGCAUCACAUGUUAUCUGCUCAUGUUGCUGGAGAUGGUGCUUUCGGUACCGUCCUAAGACACAAUUUCGGUUGCUGACAAAGGCAGGGGAUGAGUACGCAGUCUCUAUGUUUCCUGGUCUUCAAACUUCCCAUAACCAGCAGCCGGACGACGUCAGGCUGUUUCAGGAGGCCAAGUAAUGCAAGGCUUGAAGCCACGUUUCCGCCCACACUAGCAGAAGGGAAGCCGAAGCAGCAUGCGUUCACGUGGCCCCGCGAUAUGACGUUACCACGCUGCCGCCGCACAUCGCUUCCAGCCACACCGCCGCUGUUCUUCCGCCAGGCGGCGCCGCAGAGAUGGACGACCAGCUGCCAGGGGGCUGGACGCUGUCUUGCCGAGGAGGACACCAGCAGAAAGAGAGGAGAACAGUCAGCAAGUCUGUGGGGAGCUUUCCAGGAGAGUCAAGGACAAGCAGCAGGCUGUAGACCGUCGCCUCAAAGGCGGCCCAGCACCUCUGCUUCCUGAGUUUCCCAAGUCAGAGAAGAAAAGCAGCUGCUCGUGGCCCUUCAAGUGCGGGCUGUCAUGAAAUGGCCAUGCUAAGAACAGCCAGGGUUUAGAGGCCACCACUAGCUGCACCCUCAAAGAUGGGUAUCUAAACUAAAUGAGAGCUUGCACUAGUUCGUAUUUAAAUGUUUGUAUAUAUUUCUGUCUUUGAAUCGGUAACUUGUUUACCUGACUCAAAACUCAAAGCAACAACAGCAAAUCAGUAUGUGUGUCCUGUUCCCCGCCUUUCGUCUGGGAGAGUUCCGUGUGCUGCUGCAUAUUAUGCAACUACAG